rnacentral:rRNA from 1 species
AGUGAACGCUGGCGGUAGGCCUAACACAUGCAAGUCGAACGGCAGCACAGUAAGAGCUUGCUCUUACGGGUGGCGAGUGGCGGACGGGUGAGGUAUACAUCGGAAUCUACUUUUUCGUGGGGGAUAACGUAGGGAAACUUACGCUAAUACCGCAUACGACCUACGGGUGAAAGCAGGGGAUCUUCGGACCUUGCGCGAUUGAAUGCGCCGAUGUCGGAUUAGCUAGUUGGCGGGGUAAAGGCCCACCAAGGCGACGAUCCGUAGCUGGUCUGAGAGGAUGAUCGGCCACACUGGAACUGAGACACGGUCCAGACUCCUAAGGGAGGCAGCAGUGGGGAAUAUUGGACAAUGGGCGCAAGCCUGAUCCAGCCAUACCGCGUGGGUGAAGAAGGCCUUCGGGUUGUAAAGCCCUUUUGUUGGGAAAGAAAAGCAGCAGGUUAAUACCCCGCUGUUCUGACGGUACCCAAAGAAUAAGCACCGGCUAACUUCGUG